AUCACAUUGGUAUUUUAACAGUGUUAUUGUAAGAGUUUAAAUGUUUAAACAGAGGAUACAUCUAAAACAGGAUAAAACAAGUGCAGUAUGUUCUGAGAAUGUUACUGUUUGUCCAGUGUGUGUGUGUGUGUGUUUGUCCAGUGUGUGUGUGUGUGUGUUUGUCCAGUGUGUGUGUGUGUGUGUGUGUUUGUCCAGUGUGUGUGUGUGUGUGUGUUUGUCCAGUGUGUGUGUGUGUGUGUGUGUCCAGUGUGUGUGUGUGUGUGUGUGUGUGUCCAGUGUGUGUGUGUGUGUCCAGUGUGUGUGUGUGUGUGUCCAGUGUGUGUGUGUGUGUCCAGUGUGUGUGUGUGUGUGUCCAGUGUGUGUGUGUGUGUGUCCAGUGUGUGUGUGUGUCCAGUGUGUGUGUGUGAGUCCAGUGUGUGUGUGUGUGUGUUUGUCUAGUGUGUGUGUCCAGUGUGUGUGUGUCUGUGUGUAUCCAGUGUUUGUGUGUGUGUGUCCAGUGUGUGUGUUUGUCCACUUUGUUUGUCCAGUGUGUGUGUGUGUGUGUGUCCAGUGUGUGUGUGUGUGUGUGUGUGUGUGUAUUUUUGUUUGACCAGUGUGUGUGUGUGUGUGUGUGUGUGUGUGUGUGUGUGUGUCCAGUGUGUGUGUGUGUGUGUGUGUGUGUGUGUGUGUCCAUGUGUGUGUGUGUGUGUUUGUCCAGUGUGUGUGUGUGUGUGUGUGUGUGUGUGUUUGUUUUUGUCCAGUGUGUGUGUUUGUCCAGUGUGUGUGUGUGUGUGUGUGUGUUUGUCCAGUGUGUGUGUGUGUGUGUGUUUGUCCAGUGUGUGUGUGUGUUUGUCCAGUGUGUGUGUGUGUGUGUGUGUGUUUGUCCAGUGUUUGUGUGUGUGUGUCCAGUGUGUGUGUGUGUGUGUCCAGUGUGUGUGUGUGUGUGUCCAAUGUGUGUGUGUGUGUGUGUCCAGUGUGUGUGUGUGUGUGUCCAGUGUGUGUGAGUCCAGUGUGUGUGAGUCCAGUGUGUGUGUGUGUGUGAGUCCAGUGUGUGUGUGUUUGUCCAGUGUGUGUGUGUGUUUGUCCAGUGUGUGUGUGUGUGUGUGUGUGUGUGUGUGUGUGUGUGUUGUCCAGUGUGUUUGUGUGUGUGUUUGUCCAGUGUGUGUGUGUGUGUGUUUGUCCAGUGUGUGUGUGUGUGUGUUUUGUGUGUGUGUGUCCAGUGUGUGUGUGUGAGUCCAGUGUGUGUGUGUGUGUGUGUUUGUCUAGUGUGUGUGUCCAGUGUGUGUGUGUCUGUGUGUAUCCAGUGUUUGUGUGUGUGUGUGUCCAGUGUGUGUGUUUGUCCACUUUGUUUGUCCAGUGUGUGUGUGUGUGUGUGUCCAGUGUGUGUGUGUGUGUGUGUGUGUGUAUUUUUGUUUGACCAGUGUGUGUGUGUGUGUGUGUGUGUGUGUGUGUGUGUGUGUGUCCAGUGUGUGUGUGUGUGUGUGUGUGUUGUGUGUGUGUGUGUGUGUGUGUGUGUGUUUGUCCAGUGUGUGUGUGUGUGUG
rnacentral:lncRNA from 1 species